GGUCUUGUAGUGAAGUGGUUAUCAUGCCUCUCUGUCACAGAGGAGAUCGCGGGUUCAAAUCCCGUCAAGACCGCCA
rnacentral:tRNA from 1 species